ensembl:snRNA U6 U6 spliceosomal RNA
AUAGGUGCUUACUGUGGCAGCUAAAAUUGGAAUGAUACAGAGAUCAGUGGCCCCUGUGCAAGGAUGACACGCAAAUCUGUGAAGCAUUCUUAUGUUUU